UCCCCAUUGGCUUAGCGGUAAAGAGCCUGCCUGCAAUGCAGAAGAGCCUAGUUCAAUCCCUGGGUUGGGAA
rnacentral:tRNA from 1 species